rnacentral:rRNA from 1 species
CUCAAAGGAAUUGACGGGGACACCGCACAGCGGUGAUUAUGUGGAUAAUUGAUCAACGCGAAAACCUUACCUACCCUUGACAUGCUUGAAUCUAAUGGAGACAUAAGAGUGCCCGAAAGGGAGCCAAGACACAGGUGCUGCAUGGCUGUCGUCAGCUCGUGUCGUGAGAUGUUGGGUUAAGUCCCGCAACGAGCGCAACCCUUGUCACUAAUUGCUAUCAUUUUUAAUGAGCACUUUAGUGAGACUGCCGGUGACAAACCGGAGGAAGGUGGGGAUGACGUCAAGUCCUCAUGGCCCUUAUGGGUAGGGCUUCACACGUAAUACAAUGGCGUGUACAGAGGGUUGCCAACCCGCGAGGGGGAGCCAAUCUCAGAAAGCACGUCGUAGUCCGGAUCGGAGUCUGCAACUCGACUCCGUGAAGUCGGAAUCGCUAGUAAUCGCGGAUCAGCAUGUCGCGGUGAAUACGUUCCCGGGUCUUGUACACACCGCCCGUCACACCAUGGGAGUGGUUUUCACCAGAAGCAGGUAGCUUAACCGCAAGGAGGGCGCUUGCCACGGUGGGGGUCAUGACUGGGGUGAAGUCGUAACAAGGUAACCGUA